UACGUAGGUGGCAAGCGUUGUCCGGAAUUAUUGGGCGUAAAGCGCGCCCAGGCGGCCUUUUAAGUCUGAUGUGAAAGCCCACGGCUCAACCGUGGAAGGUCAUUGGAAACUGAAAGGCUUGAGUACAGAAGAGGAAAGCGGAAUUCCACGUGUAGCGGUGAAAUGCGUAGAGAUGUGGAGGAACACCAGUGGCGAAGGCGGCUUUCUGGUCUGUAACUGACGCUGAGGCGCGAAAGCGUGGGGAGCAAACAGG
rnacentral:rRNA from 1 species